rnacentral:rRNA from 1 species
UACGGAGGGUGCAAGCGUUAUCCGGAUUCACUGGGUUUAAAGGGUGCGUAGGCGGGCAUGUAAGUCAGUGGUGAAAUCUUUGGGCUUAACCCGAAACUGCCAUUGAUACUAUGUGUCUUGAAUAUUGUGGAGGCUAGCGGAAUAUGUCAUGUAGCGGUGAAAUGCUUAGAGAUGACAUAGAACACCUAUUGCGAAGGCAGCUGGCUACGCAUAUAUUUGACGCUGAGGCACGAAAGCGUGGGGGAUCAAAC